rnacentral:rRNA from 1 species
UACGUAGGGUGCGAGCGUUAAUCGGAAUUACUGGGCAUAAAGGGUGCGUAGGCGGCUUGUUAAGUCAGGGGUGAAAGUUUUUCGGCCCAACCGGAAAAUUGCCCUUUGAUACUGGCGAGCUGGAGUGCGUGAGGGGUGACCGGAACGAGUGGUGUAGCGGUGAAAUGCGUAGAUAUCACUCGGAAGGCCAACGGACGAAGGCAGGUCACUGGUGCGCAACUGACGCUGAGCACGAAAGCGUGGGGAGCAAACAGG